rnacentral:rRNA from 1 species
UACGUAGGGUGCGAGCGUUAAUCGGAAUUACUGGGCGUAAAGCGUGCGUAGGCGGUUCGCUGUGUCCGAUGUGGAAGCCCCCGGGCUUAACCUGGGAAUGGCAUUGGAAACUGGCGGGCUUGAGCCACUUAGGGGCUACCGGAACAAAUGGUGGAGCGGUGAAAUGCGUAGAUAUCAUUUGGAACGCCAAUGGUGAAAACAGGUAGCUGGGAGUGUGCUGACGCUGAGACACGAAAGCCAGGGGAGCAAACGGG